UGAUGGGAAGCAGGUUAAUAUUCCUGCACCGUCGUAUGAUGCGAUGGGGGGACGGAUCGCGGAAGGUUGUCUGACUGUUGGAAUAGUCAGUUUCUGGUUCAUAGGAGGUACUUAGGCAAAUCCGGGUACGUAAUCCAAGGGACUGGGACGAGUGAACUUGUUCACGUAGCAAUCGGAAGUGGUUCCAAGAAAAGCCUCUAAGCUUCAGUCAUACGAGACCGUACCGCAAACCGACACAGGUGGGCGAGAUGAGUAUU
rnacentral:rRNA from 1 species